rnacentral:sRNA from 1 species
AGCAGCCGCGGUAAUUCCAGCUCCAAUAGCGUAUAUUAAAGUUGUUGCAGUUAAAAAGCUCGUAGUUGAACUUCGGGGUUUACCCAUUGGUCAGGCUUAAUUGUCUGUACUGGUGAGAUAAAUCUCUACCUUCUGAGGAACUUUCAUGCCAUUUAUUUGGUGUGAUUGGAAAUCAGGACUAUUACUUUGAAAAAUUAGAGUGUUUAAAGCAGGCUAAAGUCUGAAUACAUUAGCAUGGAAUAAUGAAAUAGGACGGAUUGAUUCUAUUUCGUUGGUUUCUAGGAUCACCGUAAUGAUUAAUAGGGAUAGUUGGGGGCAUUAGUAUUCAAUUGUCAGAGGUGAAAUUCUUGGAUUUAUUGAAGACUAACUACUGCGAAAGCAUUUGCCAAGGAUGUUUUCAUUAAUCAAGAACGAAAGUUAGGGGAUCGAAGACGAUCAGAUACCGUCGUAGUCUUAACUAUAAACGAUGCCGACCAGGGAUCCGGGGUCUCCUAUGGAUGACUCCCGG